AGGACGAACGCUGGCGGCGCGCUUAACACAUGCAAGUCGAACGUGAAGCUGGAGCUUGCUCCGGUGGAAAGUGGCGAACGGGUGCGUAACACGUGAGCAACCUGCCCCGAAGACUGGGAUAAACACCGGGAAACCGGUGCUAAUACCGGAUACCUUCUUCCGAUCGCAUGGUUGGAUGAAGAAAUGGAUUCCGCUUCGGGAUGGGCUCGCGGCCUAUCAGCUUGUUGGUGAGGUAACGGCCCACCAAGGCGACGACGGGUAGCUGGUCUGAGAGGACGACCAGCCACACUGGGACUGAGACACGGCCCAGACUCCUACGGGAGGCAGCAGUGGGGAAUCUUGCUCAAUGGGCGAAAGCCUGAAGCAGCGACGCCGCGUGCGGGAUGAAGGCCCUCGGGUUGUAAACCGCUUUCAGCGAGGGACGAAAUUGACGGUACCUGCAGAAGAGGCCGCCAACUACGUGCCAGCAGCCGC
rnacentral:rRNA from 1 species